AGCCUAUAUGAAAAAAAAAACAUGAGCGGCUAUGAUAAGGGGAAUGGAAAGAUCAACGGUGUGAGUAAACCGGCCCUUGAGGUGAUUGAAACGCCCGUCUUAUCCAUUGAAAAUAGGAGCUUGCUCAAAAUAAUUAAUGAAAACCAACAUGAUAUGCCUGCUUUGACCCACCCCUCAUAUAAGCUUUUUAUUAUUUUUCCUCCGUUCAUCCUAAUUUAUGUUUUGGUUCCAAACGAUAAGAAUGGUUUUUUUCGAGAUGUGUAGAAAUUCCUAAUCGCUGAACAGGAAAUUGGGAUCGGAUCAUGGAGGGCCCCUUUCCGAGGAAAGGAAGGAGAAGAAGAAGUUCAAAACAAUAGAGAUGGAAGAUUACCUUAUGGGUUGGGCAGUAAGGCAUAGAGGUACAUGACAGAAACGGGAUCCUCUCUCUCUCUCUCUCUCUCUCUGUGGAAUAUAGAAUCGAGGAGCUUGAACUCACAUGAUCUGAUGAUCUUCAGCAGUUUUAUAGGUAUUGGUGUUUAUAGUCACCGACAGAUCUGGAUUCACUCACACCCAUGGCGAUGAAUCAAGAGAUGCUCUGUAAUCUAUUCGUUCAUGAUAUUGAUUUCCAAUUGAGUGGUUUUUUUUUUU